rnacentral:rRNA from 1 species
AGCGAACGCUGGCGGCAGGCUUAACACAUGCAAGUCGAACGGUCCUUCGGGAUAGUGGCGGACGGGUGAGUAACACGUGGGAACGUGCCUUUAGGUUCGGAACAACACAGGGAAACUUGUGCUAAUACCGGAUGGGCCCUUCGGGGGAAAGAUUUAUCGCCUUUAGAGCGGCCCGCGUCUGAUUAGCUUGUUGGUGAGGUAAUGGCUCACCAAGGCGACGAUCAGUAGCUGGUCUGAGAGGAUGACCAGCCACAUUGGGACUGAGACACGGCCCAAACUCCUACGGGAGGCAGCAGUGGGGAAUCUUGCGCAAUGGGCGAAAGCCUGACGCAGCCAUGCCGCGUGAAUGAUGAAGGUCUUAGGAUUGUAAAAUUCUUUCACCGGGGACGAUAAUGACGGUACCCGGAGAAGAAGCCCCGGCUAACUUCGUGCCAGCAGCCGCCGUAA